rnacentral:tRNA from 1 species
GAUUAUUUAGUUUAAAAAAAACAAGUGUUUUGAAAGCACUCUAUAAGAAUUUCUUCUUAAUAAUCU